rnacentral:lncRNA from 1 species
AUAGCCGCUGAAGAGGAAGGAGCUUCAUUCAUCCAGUAAAAUUUGGAGAGUACUUCCUAUUUGCAUAGCAUGUUCUGAUAUUAAUACAGCUGUGUCUCUUGCAGUCCCCAGUAAAAUUGAAGAUCUAAGAUCACAUCGAGGAUCUUUAUUAGCAGCAGCAAAUGAGGAAAUGCACCUGCUACUUGAUGCGAAGACCUGCUUCCGUCGGUCAUGCCAUGUAGAAUCUGAAUUGCGCCCUGUAGGGGCGAGAGCUUUACUGUUUGGCAGAGGAUGGUGGUCGCCAACCUCCCGGCAGGUGAAGAGAGAGAGGUCUCCCAGUCUGCGUCACCCGAAGAGUAAUACUUCUCCAACUCGAAAUUCGUCAACAUUCACAUCAUCUACAGUAAAAUUCCAUGUGUUUAGUUACAGUUAAUCGCCGAAUUAUAAAGAGCAUUAGAUAGCCGUAUGGUCUCGGUAGGGUUUAUUCUAUGCCUUUGAAAACAACCCUGUUAAUUGACUAAAAUCACUGAAUUCCAAAGAAAAUUGAUAAGGGCCUAUGAGCACCCUGGAAAUUUUUUUUUCCUGUUUGAAAAAGGUGGCUAUUUUGUUGUUUAAACCAUCAGAAUUACACAAUAGUCAACCGAAAGAGUUUGAAAUACAAUAAAUUGUCUGGAACGUGCACAGACCCGCCACGUAUAUGGAGUUUUUCUGUCUAUACUGUCUAUACUGAUAGUCUUCUUUAUACACGCAUGACGUUGAGUGUAGAAUAUUAUAACCAAACAUUCAAAUUGCAUUCAAGUAGUGGUACUUUUAUUCAUAAACAUAACAUGAAUCAAUCACACGAGUACGAUUCACAAUAAUGUAAAUAGCAAGGUGAUGGGAUAUCCCUCCAAACGACGCCGAUACAAAUUCCUCCAUAUCUCUGCAGUACACUAAAUUUAGCCCCUCGUGUUUCGACAA